UGGCCUUUCACUUUUUCCAACUGAGUUUGUUUUUGACGAAACCCCGUGUUUAUUAGCAAUGUUCUCGUUAAGUUACGCAAACACGCCUGUGUGUUAGAUGGACACUUCCUAAAAUCACUGGCUGAGUCUUGUUAUCAUCACAACUUUCCCUCAGCUAUUCAAAAGAAGCUGAAAACAUGCUUCUAUUCAAUAUUUUUACUGGACAUUCACUUUCG
rnacentral:lncRNA from 1 species